GUAGGUGGCAAGCGUUGUCCGGAAUUAUUGGGCGUAAAGCGCGCGCAGGCGGUUCUUUAAGUCUGAUGUGAAAGCCCACGGCUCAACCGUGGAGGGUCAUUGGAAACUGGAGAACUUGAGUACAGAAGAGGAAAGCGGAAUUCCACGUGUAGCGGUGAAAUGCGUAGAGAUGUGGAGGAACACCAGCGGCGAAGGCGGCUUUCUGGUCUGUAACUGACGCUGAGGCGCGAAAGCGUGGGGAGCAAACAGGGAUUAGAUACCCUGGUAGUCCACGCCGUAAACGAUGAGUGCUAAGUGUUAGGGGGGUUUCCGCCCCCUUAGUGCUGCAGCUAACGCAUUAAGCACUCCGCCUGGGGAGUACGGCCGCAAGGCUG
rnacentral:rRNA from 1 species